GACGCAUUUCUGUGGAAUUCAAUAGACACAACUCAGCCACAAAUGUAUCAGCCAGUCAUGCAAGUUUAUUGAAAGGCUCUACAACAAGUAAGGUCAAUGUUUUAACCUGUUGGUCUUCGUCUGGUCUCCAUGGAAAAGAUAUACAGAGUUGACAGACUACAUCUUGACAACAUCCGGGAACAGAUUACACAAAAGGUUUGUGAAAGGAAGGAACACAUAGGAGUCAACAACACAAAGGGGCGAAGCCACAAACCAGUGUGAUGGAGAAAAGAACAACCAGUGCUCCCAGCUUUACCUCCAGGCCAGGGAUAUCAGCUGG